CGUGGAGACAGGUGGUGCAUGGCUGUCGUCAGCUCGUGUCGUGAGAUGUUGGGUUAAGUCCCGCAACGAGCGCAACCCUCACCCCUAGUUGCGACCGGGUUAUGCCGAGCACUCGAGGGGAACUGCCAGCGUCAAGCUGGAGGAAGGCGGGGAUGACGUCAAGUCAUCAUGCCCCUUACGCCCUGGGCUACACACGUGCUACAAUGGCCAGUACAAAGGGAUGCGAGACUGCGAAGUGGAGCUAAUCCCAAAAAGCUGGUCUAAGUUCAGAUUGCAGUCUGCAACUCGACUGCAUGAAGGAGGAAUCGCUAGUAAUCGCGCAUCAGCACGGCGCGGUGAAUACGUUCCCGGGCCUCGUACACACCGCCCGUCACACCACGAAAGCUGUCUGUACUCGAAGUCGCUGAG
rnacentral:rRNA from 1 species